rnacentral:rRNA from 1 species
CAGUCGCCACGGGAAUACGAAGGGUGCAAGCGUUACUCGGAAUUACUGGGCGUAAAGCGUGCGUAGGUGGUGGUUUAAGUCCGUUGUGAAAGCCCUGGGCUCAACCUGGGAAUUGCAGUGGAUACUGGGUCACUAGAGUGUGGUAGAGGAUAGUGGAAUUUCCGGUGUAGCAGUGAAAUGCGUAGAGAUCGGAAGGAACAUCUGUGGCGAAGGCGACCAUCUGGGCCAACACUGACACUGAGGCACGAAAGCGUGGGGAGCAAACAGGAUUAGAGACCCCCGUAGUCCCUGUCUCUUAUAC